rnacentral:rRNA from 1 species
AUUGAACGCUGGCGGCAGGCCUAACACAUGCAAGUCGAGCGGUAGCACAAGAGAGCUUGCUCUCUGGGUGACGAGCGGCGGACGGGUGAGUAAUGUCUGGGAAACUGCCUGAUGGAGGGGGAUAACUACUGGAAACGGUAACUAAUACCGCAUAACGUCGCAAGACCAAAGAGGGGGACCUUCGGGCCUCUUGCCAUCAGAUGUGCCCAGAUGGGAUUAGCUAGUAGGUGGGGUAACGGCUCACCUAGGCGACGAUCCCUAGCUGGUCUGAGAGGAUGACCAGGCACGCGGGAACUGGGACACGGUCCAGACUCCUACGGGAGGCAGCAGUGGGGAAUAUUGCACAAGGGGCGCAAGCCUGAUGCAGCCAUGCCGCGUGUAUGAAGAAGGCCUUCGGGUUGUAAAGUACUUUCAGCGGGGAGGAAGGUGUUGAGGUUAAUAACCUCAGCAAUUGACGUUACCCGCAGAAGAAGCACCGGCUAACUCCGUGCCAGCCGCCGCGGUAAAAC